UAUCCUAUAGUGCUUGUCCAGAACCCCAUAAUCAAUAAGAAAGAGGUGUAUAAGUUGUCAAUUGGAGCUGCUUGUGGAUUGGCAUGGCCGCCGGACAGGUUCAUAAUCCAAGUGCUGGAAAUUUUACUGAAUUUAAGAGGUGUGGUACGGUGUUUAUGGAACCGAUCUUCCUACUAUUUUGGAAGUGCUUAAUUCUAG